GAUUUGUCCUGACUGUGGGCAAGGCAGGAAAACUCUAGCUACACCCUCCCCUUGCUCUGACAGCCGUCACUGUCUCCAGACAUUACCUAAGUUCUCUGAGGUGCAGUUUUGUCCUGUACUGAAGAAAAGCAGAAGGAUCCAUACUGUGAUCUGAGAGUGGAGAAGAGACACCAAUGUCCCUAUGUCUUUUUGGAAGUUUGGAAGUAGGAUCUGUUUCCUCACUGCCAUCCUUGGCUUCCUGAGUGCUGGGAUGACAGUGUCUUCAUUGGAAAACUGUCCAAGGACCAUAAGCCCUGAACUUUAUCCCUGAGGGGAAAAAUAACACCUUGAAGAGUUUAAAGAACACAGCCCUUUUCUAAAGCUGAGAUACUCAUCCUGGACUCUUGGGGAAAAAAACCCACCAGCGGUUACAAGGUACACCUGAUACGAGUCAGCGAUGACCGCACAGGGGCAGGAAGAGGUGUCCUGGGGUGAGAAACCAACGCCUGAGUCCAAGUGUGAUGACCCCAGUUCAGGAGGAUGGUCCCGACUCAAGGAAGAACUCUUUACCCACGGAGUUUCUGACCUUAGGCUGGUUCCAUGUAUGCAAACGCGACUCUCCGAGGGCCCUUCCUGCCUUCUUGUCGUGUUAGAGAAACAGUUCUGUCUCUGAACAGACCAAAUCUGAUUUAGACCACUGACCUCCCCUUGCAUGUGGUUCUCAGCACACUUGACUGUUAGUGCUCCACUACUGGGUCAUGAGCAUUUCCCAGGGCUUUUACAGUUUUCCUCAACUUUAUCAUUGACUGGUUACCCCAUCUCUGAAAAAUAAAAUAAAAUCUGUAC